GCGCACAGUGAACACCCAAGGCUGCUUACGUAGUUCCCCCUGGUCUAUAAUCUGUGCUACAGCAACUCUGAUCUGUACCUCUGCAUUUGGAGAGCCUACUUCUCCCCAACAUGUAUUCAACAGAUCAGAAUAAUG